rnacentral:sRNA from 1 species
UGACCACUUCUCUCUUAAAGAGAAGUUUAAGGGCCAUACGGACAGCCGGGUCAAAUGCCGA